rnacentral:rRNA from 1 species
CCUACGGGAGGCAGCAGUGAGGAAUAUUGGUCAAUGGACGAGAGUCUGAACCAGCCAAGUAGCGUGAAGGAUGACUGCCCUAUGGGUUGUAAACUUCUUUUAUAUGGGAAUAAAACGUUCCACGUGUGGGAUUUUGUAUGUACCAUAUGAAUAAGGAUCGGCUAACUCCGUGCCAGCAGCCGCGGUAAUACGGAGGAUCCGAGCGUUAUCCGGAUUUAUUGGGUUUAAAGGGAGCGUAGGUGGAUUGUUAAGUCCGUUGUGAAAGUUUGCGGCUCAACCGUAAAAUUGCAGUUGAAACUGGCAGUCUUGAGUACAGUAGAGGUGGGCGGAAUUCGUGUUGUAGCGGUGAAAUGCUUAGCUAUCACGCAGAACUCCGAUUGCGAAGGCAGUUCACUGGACUGCAACUGACACUGAGGCUCGAAAGUGUGGGUAUCAAACAGGAUUAGAUACCCGUGUAGUC